rnacentral:rRNA from 1 species
AUGGAAAGCGGCGGACGGGUGAGUAACGCGUGGGCAACCUGCCUUUCACAGAGGGAUAGCCAAAGGAAACUUUGAUUAAAACCUCAUAAAGCUGGAAUAGUGCAUAAUAUACCAGCCAAAGAUUUAUCGGUGAAAGAUGGGCCCGCGUCUGAUUAGCUAGUUGGUGGGGUAACGGCUCACCAAGGCGACGAUCAGUAGCCGACCUGAGAGGGUGAUCGGCCACAUUGGAACUGAGACACGGUCCAGACUCC